UUACAGCGGUGGUCAUUUCCUGCAUGACGCUUCGCUAGGAGACGUCGCGGUUCCUUCAGUCAUCAGAACCGUUUCUGGUUCCUAACGGCCGAGUUUGAACAGGCUGAAAGAGGUGAAAAUGAGCAGCUGUGAUCUGAGCGUGAGUACACAAACUUAUCACCAUCACACACUAACACACAACUAAACCCCAGUAACAGCGCAGAGACAACAAGAUGUUCACUUCCUGUAGCUGUGUUCAGUAUCAUGAUGUGUGUGUGUGUGUGUGUGUGUGUGUGUGUGUGUGUGUGUGUGUGUGUGUGUGUGUGUGUGUGUGUGUGAGAAACUCAAUAUAACUUACAUCAGAACUAAUCACCUGGAACCAGCAACCAACUCAGAGUUAAUUAACAUCUUUAAUGAAGUUAAUGAAGCACAUUAACAUUAAUGUCCUGAUUGUGUGUGUGUGUGUGUGUGUGUGUGUGUGUGUGUGUGUGUGUGUGUGUGUGUGUGUGAGAGUGUGUGUGAGUGUGUGUGAGAUUGAAUAACAGACUCAUGUUUACAUGCAGAGACGAGAUUGUUUAGAGACUGAAUGACGAUGAUGAUGAUGAUGAUGAUGAUGAAAGAGGAAUGCUGAACUGAAGGAAACAAAAUCUUUUGAAUAAGAAGGAAACUAACCAGCAGUUGCGUCGCCAUAAGAUUUGAAACCUGGCGCUGAAGCGGGAGUCAAAAACUCUACAGGAAUUAAAGGAACAAGAAAACAGCAGAAAAUAAAAAUAAAAUCAAAUUAAAACUGAAAAGCUCUAGAGUUUGUAAAGCAAGAUGAUUAAAAACAAAAUAAAUCAGCACAAACAUUCCUCUGUGUGUGUGUGUGUGUGUGUGUGUGUGUGUGUGUGUGUGUGUGUGUGUGUGUGUGUGUGUGUAAGCGAGUGUGAGUGUAUGAUGAGAAAACACAGAUGAUCUCACCGUGACAGUCACCAAGAUGCCCCGUGUCCCCGAACUCCACAUCCUGCUCAAACCCACUGCUGAGGGAGAGAGAGACCUUCAGCACCACACCUGCCUCCGAGCCAAUAAACACCACCGUGUGGUUCCUGUAGGGACCUGCUGCAUUAUCAACUGCUACAGCAGUCAACCGUAACGGCAAACGGGGUUGAAGCCAUUUGUGCCACAGAUAAAGAUGAGAUCAUCAUUUCUGGGAACCAAAACUUUAAUAAAGUUAUGGCACUCGUCCUGAGAGAGAGACAGAUGGAGUGUGUCCUGGAUCCUGGUCAUCAGCUGAAAGUCCAGUCGAUGUUGGGAUUCAUUACCGGAUGGCCGACCUCGGAAAACUGGAUACUGUCGUGAAUCUGGGGUGUGAAGAAGAGAUGAAGAAGAGAUGAAGAAGAGAUG